UACGUAGGUGGCGAGCGUUGUCCGGAUUUACUGGGCGUAAAGAGCGCGCAGGCGGUCGUACAAGUCGCGUGUGAAAGCCCCCGGCUCAACUGGGGAGGGUCACGCGAUACUGAUCGACUCGAAGGCAGGAGAGGGUAGUGGAAUUCCCGGUGUAGUGGUGAAAUGCGUAGAUAUCGGGAGGAACACCAGUGGCGAAGGCGACUACCUGGCCUGUUCUUGACGCUGAGGCGCGAAAGCUAGGGGAGCAAACGGG
rnacentral:rRNA from 1 species